CGCAUGGUUCGAAAUUGAAAGGCGGCUUCGGCUGUCACUUAUGGAUGGACCCGCGUCGCAUUAGCUAGUUGGUGAGGUAACGGCUCACCAAGGCAACGAUGCGUAGCCGACCUGAGAGGGUGAUCGGCCACACUGGGACUGAGACACGGCCCAGACUCCUACGGGAGGCAGCAGUAGGGAAUCUUCCGCAAUGGACGAAAGUCUGACGGAGCAACGCCGCGUGAGUGAUGAAGGCUUUCGGGUCGUAAAACUCUGUUGUUAGGGAAGAACAAGUGCUAGUUGAAUAAGCUGGCACCUUG
rnacentral:rRNA from 1 species